rnacentral:rRNA from 1 species
UACGUAGGGGGCUAGCGUUGUCCGGAAUCAUUGGGCGUAAAGCGCGUGUAGGCGGUUCGGUAAGUCCGCUGUGAAAGUCGGGGGCUCAACCCUCGAAUGCCGGUGGAUACUGUCGGACUAGAGUACGGAAGAGGCGAGUGGAAUUCCUGGUGUAGCGGUGAAAUGCGCAGAUAUCAGGAGGAACACCAAUUGCGAAGGCAGCUCGCUGGGACGGUACUGACGCUGAGGCGCGAAAGCGUGGGGAGCAAACAGG